AACGAACGCUGGCGGCAGGCUUAACACAUGCAAGUCGAACGCAUCCGUCGGGGUGAGUGGCAGACGGGUGAGAAACGCGUGGGAACGUGCCCUUCAGUUCGGGAUAACCCAGGGAAACUUGGGCUAAUACCGGAUACGUGCGAGAGCAGAAAGAUUUAUCGGUGAAGGAUCGGCGCGCUUCUGAUUAGCUAGUUGGUGGGGUAAUGGCCCACCAAGGCGACGAUCAGUAGCUGGUCUGAGAGGAUGAUCAGCCACAUUGGGACUGAGACACGGCCCAAACUCCUACGGGAGGCAGCAGUGCGGAAUAUUGGACACUGGGCGCAAGCCUGAUCCAGCCAUGCCGCGUGAGUGAUGAAGGCCUUAGGGUUGUAAAGCUCUUUCGUCCGGGACGAUAAUGACGGUACCGGAAGAAGAAGCCCCGGCUAACUUCGUGCCAGCCGCCGCGGUAA
rnacentral:rRNA from 1 species